UACGUAGGCAGCAAGCGUUGUUCGGAUUCAUUGGGCGUAAAGGGUGCGUAGGCGGUUUGGCAAGUCUGAUGUGAAAUCUAUGGGCUCAACCCAUAGUCUGCAUCAGAAACUGCCGGGCUUGAGUAUGGGAGAGGUGAGUGGAAUUUCCGGUGUAGCGGUGAAAUGCGUAGAUAUCGGAAGGAACACCUGUGGCGAAAGCGGCUCACUGGACCAUAACUGACGCUGAUGCACGAAAGCUAGGGGAGCAAACAGG
rnacentral:rRNA from 1 species